UUUGUUGGCUGUGGAUGGACUGUGGAUGCACAGGGGCAUGGAGGUGGUGAUGGGGCAGCAUCCUGAGCCUCCUAAGACCUCAAUUCCAAACGGUGUGCUGAAGCAAGACCCAGAAUUAGAGGGAAGCAGCAGGGGAGAGAGGGCAGCUGGCUGAUGAACAUUAUAUGUUGUCGGUUGUCAUGUUUACUGUGAUAAUCUGGAUUCCACGGGUAACACCUUGCAACGACAAGGUGCUUUGCAAUUAUCUCUGCCUCUGUGUUCUCCCUCUUCUUUCACACAGUAGGUAGCAGAUGGAAACACUUCAGAUGUUCAUGUUGGGUCAGACAGAAUCAAAAUGGCUCUGCAGGUGGCUUUCAAACAGCCAUGAGACUGGAUUUCAGCUGGGAAACCAGAAAAACCUCAUGGAAACCAGGCCUCAGGUCAGAAUCAUCCCUGCCCAAUGCUGUGACUUACCCCAGGGAGGACAACGAGAUGUAACUCUUGUUUCUGAUAAUGACUACUCGGUUCUGCAAACAAAUGUAAGACAAUUAACAAAUCAGAUCACCUCUUCAUUUUACCACUGAUGAAAAAGCUGAGAAAGUCCCAUUCUGAUGUGCCAAAGGAUUGUAAGAGGAGGCGUCCAGCCGUACAGCCUGGGUCCUGCCAUUGCCUCCUGCACACUCACCACUGACAACUGCUCCCUGGAUACUGCCCUGAAUACACCGGGCCACUGGCUUGUGAUACCUAAAUCCUCUCGGUUUGCUGGGAUUUCUGAUCACCAUUGCGGACUUGAAGCACAAAUGAUGGAGAGCAGCCCUGGUGUGGACCUGUGCCUGUCCCCCUCCCUGUGUGCUCCCCUGCUCCCUUCACCUGCCUUCGGCCAGAAAGAAGUAAAUACAAGUAAGAACAUGAGGUGGAAUCAUACAAUGUUCUGGGUUAAAAUAAAAAUUAAAAUACAAACUAGGCUAAUUUUAGGUUUACAUUAGCAAAAACCCCUACCCAAACCAUUCCCCCAACCGAAACCCUGCUGUACAAGCAAAAGAGUUAGAACACAGUAAAUGUCUCUCCAGCGUUAGGUGUGCACUAUAACAUAUGGCUCUCUGGCAUGGAUUCCUCUGAGAGUCCUGAAAAUUAAUUGCAGUUAAGAACUACUCUUAUUUUUAAAAGACUAGGGUUUUUCUCCUUCAUUGUGUAAUUAGUAGCAAUGAUGUUAAAUGACAGGGCUUCUUUUUUAGUUUGCAGUUCUAGUUCAGGACUGCUAUGGAUUGUCACACAAAUAGAGCACCAGACAGGAAUAGGGUUUUGCAUGUGCUGCUCUUGUUAAAAGCAAAAGCCAGUCAAAGGAAAAACAGCAUAACACAAGUUUUAUGCCGCUUCCCCGCUGUGUAGAUGGGUGGAACAGAAGAUGUUCUUUCAAACUGGUAAUUGAGGAAAGGCAAGGAACAGACAAAUGUAAACUUUUCAGCAGUGUGCAUGAUUCAGUAUUCAUUUCAAACAUGAGAACUGCUGAAUGCAGAAUUGCUGAAUUGCUGUCUCGAACCUGUACAAAGGUUCAUUUCCAGCUACCUCGGAGUGCCCACUGCCAGGUGCUUUGCAGGAAGGAGGUUAAAAAAACCAGCAGAUUAGUAGAUGGCUGGGGAAGAAUAACAGUGUGCCAAUGGGGGAAGGAAGUUUAUUUUUUAAUCUUCCUGGUUGUGUCCUGAAAGCAAGAAUCUCGCUUAUGUUUUGUAAAAUCAAGCAGAUCUUUCAAAAGCAAAACAGAUGCAGCUGCAAGGGUAGCAUUUUCUCACCUUGUUUCAACUAUCUAAAAAUUAGCUGGUUUCAGGUAUUUGCUCACACUUCUGUAGCCAAUGGAAAUAAUAGACAGCAACCAGCAUUUGGCAAUUCAUCCUGGCCCAGGAGACAUAUUUUACCCUGUAGCAACAUGUCUUCCUGCCAUUUGCUGUUGGAAGGGACGCAGGUGGCUGUCCUGGAGCUUAGACCUGCCUUUCCAAUAUUUACAGGCAGGUGAGAUGAAUCUGAAAUGGCAAGACUGUGAUAUGCUUACCGUCAACAACAGAUGAACACUGAAAAGCAAAAAGAUGCAUGAAGAUUUUGUCCAUCUCAUAGUUCCCACAAAUGUUUAUGGGAGAUAAUCAAAUGCAGAUCAACUCACACUUCAAUAAAUAUACUGUAUUGAUGCUACAUCACUGAAAUUAGCAGAAAAACAAGCAAGCAAGCGUCCAUUGGUACUGGUAUGAGUAAGCAAGGAUUCAAAACUACCCAUCAUGAAUGCUGCUGGUAACUUUGCCUCCUAAUGUUCUCCCUGCUCCUGCUGCUCUCCUGCAAAACCACCACACAUGUGCGCAGUGCCAGGAGGGACGUGGCUCUGAUACAUGGACACACCUCUAGCAGAGAGUAGGUUGGGGACAUUUAACAUUUAAACCGCAAGCAGAGCUGUGGGAUGGCAUCACUGCUUGUUAGAGUAGAAUGAAAAUCUGUCGUAUAAGGAUGCACUUUAGGCUCUGAAAGGUCGUAAUGUUCCUACAAGCCGUAGAUGGCUAUUUUACUGGAAUAUGGUCCAGAUAUUGCAUUGAUUAAAUGUUUGUUGUGUGGUCUGAAUGGAAGAAAUGCACUAAACCAUUUCUUAAUUAAUGAAACAUGUACUUAAAAGAAAAAAAAAAAAAAGAGGAAAACAGACAACCAAUUAAUUUACUAGGAACAUGAAAAGUCAAGGCAAGCUUGCUUUUUAAGAAUUGCUGUUAUGUUUUACCUGCAAAGUGUCUCUCUGCUUAUCUGGAAAUGUUCUGGACACCCUGGAAGUUUAGGCUGCUUUAAGGAGUGGUUCUGAAAUGCAAAGAGCGUGUUUUUUACAAUGUAAAGGUCUGCUUGAAGAAAGAACAUUUUGUCAUCUGACAGUCAGAUUCUGAUCACAUUGAUCAGAACAAAACCUUUGAGCAAAACCAGCCUGCUUCACUGAGUUUCUUUUAGUAGCUCUUGUCCAUGACAAACGGACGUUUUACUUUAUAGAUGCACAUUAUACUUAUUUUUACAUGCCAUCUGCACUUUUCACUGCUGCUCAUUGGUGAUUACUCCUCUUGAAAGGAAAAGAUCAGAGAAAUUUAUGGACAGCAUUCACCAUGAAUCCUUCCUUUUCCUUUAGGGCAUUCCUGAAAUGCAAAUGAUGAGAACAGAAAUGGUUCGAUACUCAUUAUGACAGCUGUUUGUGUCAGGGUUAAUUAAACUCCAGAUAUUCCUGGAGAGAAAAUAUUUGUUAUUAAUAAACACAUCUGGCUUGGAUUUUGUAGCACACAGUCUGAUAGUAUGACAGAAUAAAAGACUGCUAGCUGGUGUGGGCUUUCUUCCCAGCCAGAUUUGACUUUUGCACUUAAAGUGAGUUUGCAUUAAGUGAGUUUGUCUUUUCUGAAGGUGGAAUUCUGAUGUGAAACACAACCUGUGAGCCACAUUCCCUUAGGUCAGAGACUGGAUUUGAGUGAGAAGGGUGGGAUCAGCAUCUACUGUGUAAAUACAGUUUAUGUACCCUUACUUACACUAUCAAUUCAUCUUCAAUAAUUCAAAAUCUGAAACAUGCAAAUUAUCUUCUAAAGACCCAGAAUGAAAGCAAGUCAUGGGUUUAACAUAAUGCCUAAUCUAAACCAGGCAGCACUUCACGGACGCGGUUAAUCGCAUUGCAAUGGAAUCGGAGCUAACGGAACAGGUUGUCACUGUAAAACCUGAUUGCUCUGAAGGGCAUGUCCACUUCUGCUUUGCAUUGCCCUAUCUCCUCCUCCCAGGUGGUGGAAUUCCAGCAUAAUCCUAAAUCCUGGCCUUGUAUAGCAGGACAAUUGCACACAGGAGGAAGCAGCAGGGUGUCCAUUUGGGGCAGAGAGCGGUUAAUGCGACGCUGCCCAAGGGACUCAAGCGAGAGCAGACCUGGGCAGGCACCUUGGCAAUUCUCAGCUGCUCUCAACCUUCUCCACUGUGGGAAAAGAAGGUACAUUUUCCAUGUGGGACAGGAGAUAAAACAGAGGUACAGAGAAAGGAAUCAUGUAAGACAUCUGUAGUAAAUGAGGGAAACCAAAUUUCCUGACUGUCAGGGCUCUGCAAAUGCGAAAAGCCCAUUUUUCCCUCGGUACACUUUAAUGCAAUUUACACUCUGAAGGGUGAAGGGUGUUUUUCUUCCUCCAGGAUUGCAGUGACUUGCAUCUUGCCUGUUUGGACUGUUUCAUCACCAGUGCUGGCUUGGAGCAGGCAGGUUUUCAGCAGUUUGACCGCUCACAGCUGCCAUCUGGCAGUUCCACAGAGCAUUCUGAGGAGAGGCAAAGCCAAACUUCUCCAAACUUAAUCUCAUGACAGAGAUUUUUGUAAUUUUUAAAAAGUGCAGGAUUACAACACCAUAGUGCUGUAGCAGAGAGCUUGCCAUUAUCUCUUCUCAGCAGGGACACAGGAGUUGCUGUCUCUCUCACAUCAGUGCUUCAUGUGCCAUAGAGGUCUGGCUCUGAAACCAGGUGGGAUUAGCUCCAUCUGACAAGGUCUACCACAGAGGAGACACUCCUGGGAGAUUCAAAGGAAAUUACUGCCUUUCGAGAACUGAUUUACGCCAGGAAGCACAGUCUUUGGCAUCCCUUCUUGUUUCCCUUACCUGAGCACAGAGCUCCAGAGUAGAGCUGUCUCUCUGCCCCUCCAUGGCUGUCCCCUCCCACAGCAGCGGCUUGUCAAACAGGAUCCCAACUGAAGCAGCAAGAGUGGUGUCUUGUAGUUUAGCCUUUGGAUACCACAGCUGACCUUGGGGCCAAACACGGAGAAAAAAAUGUUGCCACAGCUGAUUUGCCAAGACAGCAUUUACUGGUGGGUGAAAGAAGAGACCUGAUAAGAGUUUUGAGGCAGUACCACUAAAAUGGUAAGUGUAUCAGCAAGACAACGGAGGUAAUUAAGUUCUCAGAAGUAAAAGACCUGCCUCCUGCUUGCCAUGAGUGUCCCCGCAUUGACACCAUGUGUGGUCCUGGUGGACUUUCAACAGGCACCCUGGGUAGCCCAUAUCUCUGCUCUCAGGGACUGCCCUGAGAAGCUUUGUGAGUCCUUGCACUACCAGCCAGUGCACACCUCACAGCUGUCCAGCUGCCUUGUUGGCACACCAGUGUGAAUCCGGUGUGUCUUGUCAAAGUAAAGGGUUAAAAAUUUACUUGGCAUAUAGGAACCAAGGUUAAAGACAGACUGAAGAAAACAAAGCACAUCAUCUGUAGUUAGUUACCUCUGGUUUUAAGAAGUUUUUCAGGGUGUUGUUCUGACGUACCUCAAGCUAUAAAGUAACUUGGAGUUGAGGGCAGAUUCUAGUAACUAUUCCCAAAGCUGAAAGCGCUGCUGAGGACCCUGCCCUCUGCUCCGAUCAUCAGUCCAGUUUGUACUCCAGGCUCACUGAAGUAGCUACGUGAGUACAGAAGAUUUCUCCCCCUCCCGCCGAGUCUUUUCUCUGAGGUGUUAGCAAAUGUACAAAUAUUACAUUGGCAUCCAAGGUAGACCUGCCUCAAGUCUUCCCUUGAGGUACAACUUGCAUUCCUUAGUUAACACAUUGCUACUCCUUGUAUUAUCAGGGCUGCCCGGGUGCUUUACACAUCAUGCACCAUGAGAAACAGCGGUUGUGCUUACACCUUUGUGGAGUUGUGGCUUCCAGCUCGUUGUGAGCUUGGCAGUGAGUCUCUGCUGGUGAUUUUGCUGCCUGUGUUAGGUAUUACUCAGCUGGCUGGGAUUUCUGAUGCAGUCUUUGUACUGGAGUAAAAAUAGCAGCUUAUCACAUGGCAGGCAGGAACAGUGCAAAUUUCUGGAAAAGAGCUAAACCCUGCAUGCAGCUCCAGCACCAACGCCUGCCGUGUUCCUCCUCCCCAGGCCGCCUCCUCUAUCCUCUGAGCCCUUCUGGCAGGCAAAGCCAGCAGCUCUGCUA